rnacentral:rRNA from 1 species
UACGUAGGGCGCAAGCGUUGUCCGGAAUUAUUGGGCGUAAAGAGCUCGUAGGCGGCUUGUCACGUCGGAUGUGAAAGCCCGAGGCUUAACCUCGGGUCUGCAUUCGAUACGGGCUAGCUAGAGUGUGGUAGGGGAGAGCGGAAUUCCUGGUGUAGCGGUGAAAUGCGCAGAUAUCAGGAAGAACACCCGUGGCGAAGGCGGCUCUCUGGAACGCAACUGACGCUGAGACGCGAAAGCGUGGGGAGCAAACAGG